rnacentral:rRNA from 1 species
UAGGGAAUCUUCCGCAAUGGACGCAAGUCUGACGGAGCAACGCCGCGUGAGUGAAGAAGGAUUUCGGUUCGUAAAACUCUGUUGUUAGAGAAGAACAGCGCAUAGAGUAACUGUUAUGCGUGUGACGGUAUCUAACCAGAAAGCCACGGCUAACUACGUGCCAGCAGCCGCGGUAAUACGUAGGUCCCGAGCGUUGUCCGGAGUUAUUGGGCGUAAAGCGAGCGCAGGCGGUUAGAGAAGUCUGAAGUUAAAGGCAGUGGCUCAACCAUUGUAGGCUUAGGAAACUGUGUAACUUGAGUGCAGAAGGGGAGAGUGGAAGUCCAAGUGUAGCGGUGAAAUGCGUAGAUAUAUGGAGGAACACCGGUGGCGAAAGCGGCUCUCUGGUCUGUAACUGACGCUGAGGCUCGAAAGCGUGGGGAGCGAACAGG